rnacentral:misc_RNA from 1 species
AACACUGUUAACCUGCGGUACCUGCGGAAGGAUCAUUACAGAGUUGCAAAACUCCCUAAACCAUUGCGAACGUUACCUAAACCGUUGCUUCGGCGGGCGGCCCGGGUCCUUCCCGGCGCCCCUCGGCCCUCGCGGGCGCCCGCCGGAGGUAAACCAAACUAUUGCAUUGUAUGGCCUCUCUGAGUCUUCUGUACUGAAUAAGUCAAAACUUUUAACAAUGGAUCUCAGAUCGGAAGAGCA